rnacentral:rRNA from 1 species
CCUACGGGAGGCUGCAGUGGGGAAUAUUGCGCAAUGGGGGAAACCCUGACGCAGCGACGCCGCGUGCGGGAUGACGGCCUUCGGGUUGUAAACCGCUUUUGAUUGGGAGCAAGCGCAAGUGAGUGUACCUUUCGAAUAAGGACCGGCUAACUACGUGCCAGCAGCCGCGGUAAUACGUAGGGUCCAAGCGUUGUCCGGAAUUAUUGGGCGUAAAGAGCUCGUAGGCGGUUCGUCGCGUCUGGUGUGAAAGUCCAUCGCUUAACGGUGGAUCUGCGCUGGAUACGGGCGGACUGGAGUGCGGUAGGGGAGACUGGAAUUCCCGGUGUAACGGUGGAAUGUGUAGAUAUCGGGAAGAACACCAAUGGCGAAGGCAGGUCUCUGGGCCGUCACUGACGCUGAGGAGCGAAAGCGUGGGGAGCGAACAGGCUUAGAUACCCCUGUAGUC